UACAGAGGAGCCAAGCGUUGUCCGGAUUGACUGGGCGUAAAGCGCACGCAGGCGGUCGCGCGCGUGGGGUGUGAAAUCUGGCCGCUUAACGGCCAGGCGCCAUCCCAUACGGCGCGUCUGGAGUGAUGCAGAGGUCGAUGGAAUUGCCGGUGUAGUGGUGAAAUGCGUAGAGAUCGGCAGGAACACCCAGGGGGAAACCAGUCGACUGGGCAUCUACUGACGCUGAGGUGCGAGAGCGUGGGGAGCGAACCGG
rnacentral:rRNA from 1 species